ACGAACGCUGGCGGCGUGCUUAACACAUGCAAGUCGAACGGUGAAGGUGGGAGCUUGCUCCUGCUGGAUCAGUGGCGAACGGGUGAGUAACACGUGAGUAACCUGCCCUUGACUCUGGGAUAAGCGUUGGAAACGACGUCUAAUACCGGAUACGAGCUUCAGCCGCAUGGCUAGGAGUUGGAAGGAAUUUCGGUCAAGGAUGGACUCGCGGCCUAUCAGCUUGUUGGUGAGGUAAUGGCUCACCAAGGCGACGACGGGUAGCCGGCCUGAGAGGGUGACCGGCCACACUGGGACUGAGACACGGCCCAGACUCCUACGGGAGGCAGCAGUGGGGAAUAUUGCACAAUGGGCGCAAGCCUGAUGCAGCAACGCCGCGUGAGGGACGACGGCCUUCGGGUUGUAAACCUCUUUUAGCAGGGAAGAAGCGAAAGUGACGGUACCUGCAGAAAAAGCACCGGCUAACUACGU
rnacentral:rRNA from 1 species